UGCAGUCGAACGGUAACGCGGGGCAACCUGGCGACGAGUGGCGAACGGGUGAGUAAUAUAUCGGAACGUGCCCAGUUGUGGGGGAUAACUGCUCGAAAGAGCAGCUAAUACCGCAUACGACCUGAGGGUGAAAGCGGGGGAUCGCAAGACCUCGCGCAAUUGGAGCGGCCGAUAUCAGAUUAGGUAGUUGGUGGGGUAAAGGCCUACCAAGCCUACGAUCUGUAGCUGGUCUGAGAGGACGACCAGCCACACUGGGACUGAGACACGGCCCAGACUCCUACGGGAGGCAGCAGUGGGGAAUUUUGGACAAUGGGGGCAACCCUGAUCCAGCCAUGCCGCGUGCGGGAAGAAGGCCUUCGGGUUGUAAACCGCUUUUGUCAGGGAAGAAAAGACUCCUACUAAUACUGGGGGUUCAUGACGGUACCUGAAGAAUAAGCACCGGCUAACUACGUGCCAGCAGCCGCGGUAAUACGUAGGGUGCAAGCGUUAAUCGGAAUUACUGGGCGUAAAGCGUGCGCAGGCGGUUAUGCAAGACAGAUGUGAAAUCCCCGGGCUCAACCUGGGAACUGCAUUUGUGACUGCAUGGCUAGAGUACGGUAGAGGGGGAUGGAAUUCCGCGUGUAGCAGUGAA
rnacentral:rRNA from 1 species